rnacentral:rRNA from 1 species
CUACGGGGCGCUGCAGUGGGGAAUAUUGGACAAUGGGGGAAACCCUGAUCCAGCAAUGCCGCGUGUGUGAAGAAGGCCUGCGGGUUGUAAAGCACUUUCGGUUGGGAGGACUGCUUCUAGCACUAAUAUUGUUGGAAGUUGACGUUACCUUCAGAAGAAGCACCGGCUACCUCCGUGCCAGCAGCCGCGGUAAUACGGAGGGGUGCAAGCGUUAAGCGGAAUUACUGGGCGUAAAGCGCGCGUAGGCGGCUAGAUCAGUCGGGUGUGAAAGCCCCGGGCUUAACCUGGGAACUGCAUCCGAUACUGUCUAGCUUGAGUACAGGAGAGGAGAGUGGAAUUCCACAUGUAGCGGUGAAAUGCGUAGAUAUGUGGAGGAACACCAAUGGCGAAGGCAGCUCUCUGGCCUGAUACUGACGCUGAGGUGCGAAAGCGUGGGGAGCAAACGGGAUUAGAUACCCUGGUAGUC